rnacentral:rRNA from 1 species
CACGUAGGGUGCGAGCGUUGUCCGGAAUUAUUGGGCGUAAAGAGCUCGUAGGCGGUGUGUCGCGUCGGCCGUGAAAACCUGCAGCUUAACUGUGGGCUUGCGGUCGAUACGGGCAUCACUGGAGUUCGGCAGGGGAGACUGGAAUUCCUGGUGUAGCGGUGAAAUGCGCAGAUAUCUGGAGGAACACCGGUGGCGAAGGCGGCAUCCUGGACCAACACUGACACUGAGGAGCGAAAGCCAGG